UACAGCUACAUCAAUGUUGAAACAUCGGAUCUCGUACGAUCACCGAAGUUAAGCAACAUCAAGACAGGUCAGUAUCUAGGUGGGUGACUGUUUGGGAAUACCAGGUGCUGUAAG